CCUACGGGAGGCAGCAGUAGGGAAUCUUCCACAAUGGGCGAAAGCCUGAUGGAGCAACGCCGCGUGAGUGAAGAAGGAUUUCGGUUCGUAAAACUCUGUUGUAAGGGAAGAACAAGUACAGUAGUAACUGGCUGUACCUUGACGGUACCUUAUUAGAAAGCCACGGCUAACUACGUGCCAGCAGCCGCGGUAAUACGUAGGUGGCAAGCGUUGUCCGGAAUUAUUGGGCGUAAAGCGCGCGCAGGUGGUUUCUUAAGUCUGAUGUGAAAGCCCACGGCUCAACCGUGGAUGGUCAUUGGAAACUGGGAGACUUGAGUGCAGAAGAGGAUAGUGGAAUUCCAAGUGUAGCGGUGAAAUGCGUAGAGAUUUGGAGGAACACCAGUGGCGAAGGCGACUAUCUGGUCUGUAACUGACACUGAGGCGCGAAAGCGUGGGGAGCAACCAGGAUUAGAUACCCUGGUAGUCCACGCCGUAAACGAUGAGUGCUAAGUGUUAGGGGGUUUCCGCCCCUUAGUGCUGCAGCUAACGCAUUAAGCACUCCGCCUGGGGAGUACGGUCGCAAGACUGAAACUCAAAGGAAUCGACGGGGGCCCGCACAAGCGGUGGAGCAUGUGGUUUAAUUCGAAGCAACGCGAAGAACCUUAC
rnacentral:rRNA from 1 species